AGCGAACGCUGGCGGCAGGCUUAACACAUGCAAGUCGAACGAUCCUUCGGGAUAGUGGCGGACGGGUGAGUAACACGUGGGAACGUGCCUUUAGGUUCGGAACAACACAGGGAAACUUGUGCUAAUACCGGAUAAGCCCUUCGGGGAAGGAUUUAUCGCCUUUAGAGCGGCCCGCGUCUGAUUAGCUUGUUGGUGAGGUAAAGGCUCACCAAGGCUACGAUCAGUAGCUGGUCUGAGAGGANGGCCAGCCACAUUGGGACUGAGACACGGCCCAAACUCCUACGGGAGGCAGCAGUGGGGAAUCUUGCGCAAUGGGCGAAAGCCUGACGCAGCCAUGCCGCGUGGAUGAUGAAGGUCUUAGGAUUGUAAAAUCCUUUCAGCGGGACGAUAA
rnacentral:rRNA from 1 species